rnacentral:rRNA from 1 species
GAUGAACGCUGGCGGCGUGCCUAAUACAUGCAAGUCGAGCGAACGGACGAGAAGCUUGCUUCUCUGAUGUUAGCGGCGGACGGGUGAGUAACACGUGGAUAACCUACCUAUAAGACUGGGAUAACUUCGGGAAACCGGAGCUAAUACCGGAUAAUAUUUUGAACCGCAUGGUUCAAAAGCGAAAGACGGUCUUGCUGUCACUUAUAGAUGGAUCCGCGCUGCAUUAGCUAGUUGGUAAGGUAACGGCUUACCAAGGCAACGAUGCAUAGCCGACCUGAGAGGGUGAUCGGCCACACUGGAACUGAGACACGGUCCAGACUCCUACGGGAGGCAGCAGUAGGGAAUCUUCCGCAAAGGGCGAAAGCCUGACGGAGCAACGCCGCGUGAGUGAUGAAGGUCUUCGGAUCGUAAAACUCUGUUAUUAGGGAAGAACAUAUGUGUAAGUAACUGUGCACAUCUUGACGGUACCUAAUCAGAAAGCCACGGCUAACUACGUG